rnacentral:rRNA from 1 species
AACCAACAGGGAUUGCCCUAGUAACGGCGAGUGAAGCGGCAACAGCUCAAAUUUGAAAUCUGGCCUCGGCCCGAGUUGUAAUUUGCAGAGGAUGUUUCUGGCGCGGUGCCUUCCGAGUUCCCUGGAACGGGACGCCACAGAGGGUGAGAGCCCCGUAUGGUUGGACACCAAGCCUGUGUGAAACUCCUUCGACGAGUCGAGUAGUUUGGGAAUGCUGCUCUAAAUGGGAGGUAAAUCUCUUCUAAAGCUAAAUACCGGCCAGAGACCGAUAGCGCACAAGUAGAGUGAUCGAAAGAUGAAAAGCACCUUGAAAAGGGGGUUAAACAGUACGUGAAAUUGUUGAAAGGGAAGCGCUCAUGACCAGACUUGUGCCGGGCGGUUCAUCCGGGGUUCUCCCCGGUGCACUCCGCCCGGCUCAGGCCAGCAUCGGUUCUCGUUGGGGGAUAAGAACGGUAGGAACGUGGCCCUCCCUCGGGAGGGUGUUAUAGCCCGCCGUACGAUACCCUGACGGGGACCGAGGUUCGCGCUCCGCAAGGAUGCUGGCGUAAUGGUCAUCAGCGACCCGUCUUGAAACACGGACCAAGGAGUCGUCCAUUAGAGCGAGCGUUUGGGUGUAAAACCCGCACGCGUAAUGAAAGUGAAAUUAGGUGAGAGCUUCGGCGCAUCAUCGACCGAUCCUGAUGUUCUCGGAUGGAUUUGAGUAAGAGUUUUAACGGACGGACCCGAAAGACAGUGAACUAUGCUUGUAUAGGGUGAAGCCAGAGGAAACUCUGGUGGAGGCUCGCAGCGGUUCUGACGUGCAAAUCGAUCGUCAAAUAUGAGCAUGGGGGCGAAAGACUAAUCGAAC